GCACUGUCGAGGAGUCCGACAAUAGGACGAAAUGGCCGUCCAGUGC
rnacentral:hammerhead_ribozyme from 1 species